AAAAACGACUCUCGGCAACGGAUAUCUCGGCUCACGCAUCGAUGAAGAACGUAGCAAAAUGCGAUACUUGGUGUGAAUUGCAGAAUCCCGUGAACCAUCGAGUUUUUGAACGCAAGUUGCGCCCGAAGCCAUUCGGCCAAGGGCACGUCUGCCUGGGCGUCACG
rnacentral:rRNA from 3 species